GACGAACGCUGGCGGCGUGCUUAACACAUGCAAGUCGAACGAGGUCCAUGGUGCUUGCACCGGAAGACCUAGUGGCGAACGGGUGAGGAACACGUGAGGAACCUGCCCCGGACUCUGGGAUAACAGUUGGAAACGACUGCUAAUACCGGAUGCCGUUGCGGAGUCGCAUGGCUCUGCAACGAAAGAAUCUCGGUCCGGGAGGGCCUCGCGGCCUAUCAGCUAGUUGGUGGGGUAACGGCCUACCAAGGCA
rnacentral:rRNA from 1 species